rnacentral:rRNA from 1 species
CCGGCUAACUACGUGCCAGCAGCCGCGGUAAUACGUAGGGUGCAAGCGUUAAUCGGAAUUACUGGGCGUAAAAGCGUGCGCAGGCGGUUGUGUAAGACAGGUGUGAAAUCCCCGGGCUUAACCUGGGAAUGGCAUUUGUGACUGCACGGCUAGAGUGUGUCAGAGGGGGGUAGAAUUCCACGUGUAGCAGUGAAAUGCGUAGAGAUGUGGAGGAAUACCGAUGGCGAAGGCAGCCCCCUGGGAUAACACUGACGCUCAUGCACGAAAGCGUGGGGAGCAAACAGGAUUAGAUACCCUGGUAGUCCACGCCCUAAACGAUGUCUACUAGUUGUCGGGUCUUAAUUGACUUGGUAACGCAGCUAACGCGUGAAGUAGACCGCCUGGGGAGUACGGUCGCAAGAUUAAGACUCAAAGGAAUUGACGGGGACCCGCACAAGCGGUGGAUGAUGUGGAUUAAUUCGAUGCAACGCGAAAAACCUUACCUACCCUUGACAUGUACGGAAUCCCUGAGAGAUCAGGGAGUGCUUGAAAGAGAACCGUAACACAGGUGCUGCA